GCCUUCUUUGAAGCCUCUUCUCUAUUUGUCCUUUAACUAUUAGUCUUUGCCAUUGAAGGUUCUGUCCUUGGGCCUUUUUCAUUCUACACACUUUCCAUGGGACAUGGUCCUGGCUUCCAAAAGGACCUGUAUCUGAUGAUGCUCAGAUCUGAAUUUCUAGGCUACCUCUCUCUCCUGAGCUCUAGACCUGUUUAUUCAUCUGCCUGAUGGACACGGCCACCCCCAUGGGCAUUCCACCAGCACUUCAAAAUCAACAUGUCUAAAAUUAAACUUCUGGUCAAACCUACUCUUCCUCUAAUACUCCUUUUCAGUGAAGUAAGCUUUCAGCUGAAAAUUAUAAUCACCCUAGACUUCUCUCUCCUUCCAAUCCAUUGGAACAUUAAGUCAUGUUCCUUCAACCUCUUACCUUUCUCCUCACUGCCUCUCCUCUCCAGUCCCACUGCUACUAAGUUCAGAGCCUCAUAACUGCCCUUUGGUUUCCUUGGCAUCAGUCUCCUACCCCUACUUAUAACUCUUCUAUGGCUUUCCAGUUUUCUGACAGGAAAAUCCAAACUCUUAAGCAGGGCGUCCAAAUCUUCCAUGAUGCUUCCCUUGCCUAUUUCAUUCGUAUAGUCUUUCUCUGCACUCCAUCUAACCCCAGUUUCAAAUGAUCCAGACUUGCUGCAACUCCCACGGCAUCUCAAGUGUUGCCUCCAUCUGGACUUUGCUCUCACCGAUCCUUCUUUCAGGAAGGCUAGCAUCCCUUUCUCUUCCUGCCAACACUUUCCUGUGUUGUCCUUCAGUAUUUAUGAGCCUGCCCCCACAUUUAAGUACUCUUCUUUUAUUAUGCCCCAGUGGUACUCCGCACAGAUGACUGUGACAGCAUCAAUAUCACUUUGUCGCGCUUAAUUUUAAAAUGUUUGUAUUCCUCUAUUUGACCUAGAAGGGCAGGAAAUCUAUCAUUUUUACUGUUGGUCCUGUGCCUAGCAGUGAAAGCAUUCAGAGCAUGCUAGUGAGGAAAGGAAGGAAAUGAAUCCACUGAUCCUCUUACUGGGCAUCCGCUUAAUGCCCAGUAAGUGAAGCCAUGAAAUUUUAUGGUCAUAAUUUAAAAUGUCCUCCAAAAAGACAAAAAAAAAAAAAAAAAAAAAAAAAAACCUCUCCUACAGAGGGCAAGAAAGAGCACCGUCCUCUUCCUCAGAAAGUAUAAUAUCACUUCAGCAACUGGAAGCAGGAACCCCUCAAAGAUAGGCAGCCUGUUUCCCAUAACGAUAACCAAGCAAGAUGAAGCAAUUUCCUUAAGUAAACAGAAACCCUCAAAAAUACAAAGACUUUUCACCCACACCCCUAUCUUACCAAGAUGUGUGGGUGGAAUUUGCUCCAUUUAGACCCUGGUAAACAAAGUGAAAAAUAGAGCCCAUCACAAAGGAAUGGUCCCAGUGCCUCAGCAGACACAGGCAGGAAAGGCUCUGUCCCAGGUGCUACCAGUGCUGGAGAACCCCUGCUGCUGGCCGGCUGAGGAAAGGCUUCAGGGAAUGUCUUCAUAAUUAAUCCAGGAGGGAGAAGACCUCUACCCCUCUAGACUGGGUCCUGUGGGCUGAAGUGCUGAAGGAGAACCUGGGACGGUGAGUCUGUCCGCAGGUGUCCCUCCCAUUUGUACCAUGGUAUCUAAGCACUGUCUCAGGUACCACUCACUAGUGCAGGAGGGAGGGAACGGGCUGAAAACAAGGAUGCACACUGAGAGAGCUCUUGGGUGGAAGAGGCGCUGAGGAAGGCACAAGAAGUGGGGAGGGGCCCUUCCGGAAGGGCUGCUUCAGCCAAGGGCUUUGCACCUAAUAGCUUCUGUGGGGGAAGAGGGGAGCCUGAGAGAAAGAACUUCCGCCUGCUGGGAUAAAAUAGCAAAUGCAAGCUGAAUAUUCUCAUCAAGAGUGGGAAGCCGCUUGACUUCUGCAUGGAAAGAAGGAUUGUCUUCCCGGACACAUCCGGGGGAGUUGGAAGGCAGGCCAUGCAUAUUUCCCCCCUUGGCCAUUCCUCUGCCCCAAGGCUGCAGGCAGAGGUAAGUUUCGUGCUUGCACAGGUUUCCUCUGUGUGAGUCUCUUCCCAUUCUGGUUAAUGCUUUCUUGUUCUCUAGGUUUCCUCAUAUGUGUCAAUUCCUGUGAGAAACAGUGGCUGAUAUUCUGCCCACACCUCUGCCGCCACCCAGGUGAGGAGUAAGAACAUCAUCUAGGUGGCUGCCAUGUGGAGAGCACAGGAACAGUACAUUGCCAGGCCUACUUCCUUAUCUGCCUGCACUUCUGGGCCGAAGUGACUCAAAGGCAGGAACCAUGAGAAACACCACUGAAUCUCCAGAUUCUGACAUGGAGCAUUGUUCAGUCUCGCAUGUUUAAUUAAGUGUUCUAAACUGAAGCAUAAAAGACACUCUGAAUGGACCUCUCAGGCUGGAGGACAGCCUAAGCAGUCUGCUGCCAUCUAACACACUAGCUGCUAGCCACGUGGGAUUAUUUAAAUUAGUUAAAAUGAAAUGAAUUAAAAUAAAAAGUUCACUUCCGUGCAGACAGUUCCAGACAAAUUUCAUGUACUCACCGGCCACGUGUGGUCUGUGUCUAGCCUAUGGAACAUUCCCAUCAUCACAACAGUUCUGGUGAACAGUGGUGGUCCAGAUCAGGGUCAGAAACUUUCUUCUUGUAGGGCCGGAUAUUAAAUAUUGUAGAGUUUAUGGGCCAAUAGGCAAAACUGAGGUUACUGUUUAGGCACUUAUAUAACCAUUUGAAAAGUAGAUUUAUUUAAAAAUGGAAAAAACCUUCUUAACUUGCAGGUGGUGAAAAGCAGGCAGUGGGCUAGAGUUGAGCCAUAGUUUGCCCAGUGCUGGUGCCAGUCAUUGAGCCCUUUAUCCAUUAAGAACAUCUUUUUUGAACAGAUCUGUGUUUUAAGCGCUGGACUAAAUAUUAAGUUUAGCAUAGUGAACAAGAAACAUAGUCUCAGAUCUCAUGGAGUCCAGAACGUAACAGGAAAGGCACUACAACAAAAAUUACACAAUUAAUUAGUCAAUUAUUAUAAUUUAACACAUAAAAUGAAGGAGCUAAACAGGAUUUUAUGAAAGGAAGUAACAGGGGAACCUAAACGUGUAAAAGAUUGAGUUGAUUCUAAAAAUUAUCUGCAACU